GGAAUGGCAAGCCGAUGGGCGACGGCACCCGAUUCGAAAUCGGACGAGCGAACAGCCUUGAGGGUUCGACUCCCUCUCCUUCCGC
rnacentral:tRNA from 1 species